rnacentral:misc_RNA from 1 species
GAUGAAGAACGUAGCGAAAUGCGAUAAGUAAUGUGAAUUGCAGAAUUCAGUGAAUCAUCGAAUCUUUGAACGCACAUUGCGCCCGCCAGCAUUCUGGCGGGCAUGCCUGUUCGAGCGUCAUUUCAACCCUCGAGCCCCCCCGGGGGCCUCGGUGUUGGGGGACGGCACACCAGCCGCCCCCGAAAUGCAGUGGCGACCCCGCCGCAGCCUCCCCUGCGUAGUAGCACACACCUCGCACCGGAGCGCGGAGGCGGUCACGCUGUAAAACGCCCAACUUUCUUAGAGUUGACCUCGGAUCAGGUAGGAAUACCCGCUGAACUUAAGCAUAUCAAUAAGCGGAGGA